rnacentral:hammerhead_ribozyme from 17 species
CAAGCGUCUGGAGUAAGGAAGGUCGGCUGCCAUCAGCCCCACUGAUGAGUCUUAGGCAGUGACUUCGAGACGAAACGCAAA